rnacentral:tRNA from 1 species
GCGCCUGUAGCUCAGAUGGAUAGAGCGUCGGACUUCGAAUCCGCAGGUCGGGCGUUCGAGUCGCCCCAGGCGCGCCA